UGUAAUUGUGUUUCAAACAUGAAGUUUCUCUCUUUAGAAGGAGCCUUUGGAAUCAUGAUUCUAUUCUCCAGAUAGCAGAGGAUGGUCUCCCUCGAACUGGAGGAAGAGUGAAUGAACGCCCUGAGCGUAUUCCAUGCUAGGCCUAUCGGUGUGCCAGCAGCAUUUUUAGCCCAGAAGAAAAUGGAGGAAGACAUCUUAAAAUCAGUAGCCGCAUUGAUCUGCUCUAGACAGCCUCCUUCAUAGUACGGGUUGAUGGCCAUGCAUCUAGAAUGGUGGCAGCACCAAGACCAGAAAGGGAGUACAAGUUUGUAAAUGCAUGUCUGGUGCAAGAGACUGCUGGAGAUGACUCAGGUAACCAGAACUCGUUCUUUUCAAGGCUCCUAUUAGGAGACUUCUGGAGAAUUAUCAGUAGGAAGGUUAAGAGUUCCUCAACAAUCGCUUUCAUGUCAUUUAAUCCUAGAAUAACCCAAUUUCUAUGAAGUUUGCAAGAAGUCUGUUCAUAAUUCAUGUGGGGGGAUAAAUAAAAAUAAACCUGUGUUAUCCCAACCUCUGGAUCUCCUACUAUGUCUCUUUCCAC